GACGGAGGGUGCUAGCGUUGUUCGGAAUGACUGGGCGUAAAGGGCGCAUAGGCGGCUCGUGAAGUCGGGUGUGAAAGCCCGGGGCUCAACCCCGGAACGGCAUCCGAUACUGGCGGGCUUGAGACCGGGAGAGGAGGGUGGAAUACCCAGUGUAGAGGUGAGAUUCGUAGAUAUUGGGUGGAACACCGGUGGCGAAAGCGGCUCUCUGGCCCGGAUCUGACGCUGAGGCGCGAAAGCGUGGGGAGCAAACAGG
rnacentral:rRNA from 1 species